rnacentral:rRNA from 1 species
UCUGGACGGCGGAAUUCAAGAUGACUGCGGCGAGUCUCGCGCUCGUCCGGUCGUCUGAUAUUUCCGCYGUCGUGCAGACGUCGCGACCCGUUCGUUGUCGGUCCCUGUUCCGGAGGAAUCGCGUUCGAGUUUGUCGCGUGCGUGUUUCGGCGCGUCACGCGGCAAAGGCGCGAAUCUCUGGCCGACGACGGACGGUAAACAAAUGGGUGGUCGGCGUCGUGUCUCGCACUCGACGUCGAUACCGGUCGGCGACGAUUCUUCGGGCCUCUUUCCGACCCGUCUUGAAACACGGACCAAGGAGUCUAACAUGCGCGCGAGUCGCGGGGUAUCGAGCGCGCUACGGUGCGUUCGUUACGUGUAUGAAACCCGUACUGUCGAAGGCGUAAUGAAAGUGAAAUGGGGAAGAUGGUGUUCCGAGUAUACGUACCGUGGUCGAGUAUCGCGGCCGGACGCCCGCAUUCCCGGGGCGUCUCAAUGGCUCGUCGCUGACGCGGACCGUCGUCUCUUCGGGGGCGGUGGUCGAUCGGCGACGGACCGAGGCGCACCUAUAGCGUGCACGUUGGUACCCGAAAGAUGGUGAACUAUGCCUGGCCAGGAUGAAGUCAGGGGAAACCCUGAUGGAGGUCCGCAGCGAUUCUGACGUGCAAAUCGAUCGUCUGAGCUGGGUAUAG